rnacentral:rRNA from 1 species
UUCCAGACUCCUACGGGAGGCAGCAGUGGGGAAUAUUGCACAAUGGGGGAAACCCUGAUGCAGCAACGCCGCGUGAAGGAAGACGGUUUUCGGAUUGUAAACUUCUGUUCUUAGUGGAGAAGAAUGACGGUAGCUAAGGAGCAAGCCACGGCUAACUACGUGCCAGCAGCCGCGGUAAUACGUAGGGGGCAAGCGUUAUCCGGAUUCACUGGGUGUAAAGGGAGCGUAGACGGCGACGCGAGUCUGGAGUGAAAGCCCGGGGCCCAACCCCGGGACUGCUCUGGAAACUGCGUCGCUGGAGUACGGGAGGGGCAGGCGGAAUUCCUGGUGUAGCGGUGAAAUGCGUAGAUAUCAGGAGGAACACCGGCGGCGAAGGCGGCCUGCUGGACCGUGACUGACGUUGAGGCUCGAGAGCGUGGGGAGCAAACAGGAUUAGAUACCCGAGUAC